rnacentral:rRNA from 1 species
CUACGGGAGGCUCCAGUAAGGAAUAUUGCGCAAUGGAGGCAACUCUGACGCAGCCAUGCCGCGUGCAGGAAGAAGGCCUUAUGGGUCGUAAACUGCUUUUAUUUAGGAAUAAACCCCCGAACGUGUUCGGGGCUGAAGGUACUAAACGAAUAAGCACCGGCUAACUCCGUGCCAGCAGCCGCGGUAAUACGGAGGGUGCAAGCGUUAUCCGGAUUUAUUGGGUUUAAAGGGUGCGCAGGCGGGCUAUUAAGUCAGUGGUGAAAUCCCGGGGCUCAACUCCGGAACUGCCAUUGAUACUGAUAGUCUUGAGUUUGGUUGAAGUGGGCGGAAUGUAGCAUGUAGCGGGGAGAUGCAUAGAUAUGCUACAGAACACCAAUCGCGAAGGCAGCUCACUAAGCCAAAACUGACGCUCAUGCACGAAAGCGUGGGGAUCAAACAGGAUUAGAUACCCCGGUAGUC